ensembl:lncRNA
CGACAGGUUUCACUAUCAGCAAAGAACGGAUGAAUGGAUGAAAGACUGGGAAUAAAAACAAACGGACUGACUGGUAAAAGAUGACAAGACUUGACCAUGACUCAAGGUUAACCACCUCCACCUAGAUAGGAUAAAAGGGUGGAUGAAUUUAUGUGGGUUUCUUUUACAGGAGUAGAAGGAUGACAAAAUAUUCGAGGAUGAGUGAACCUGUAAAUGCCAUUUUUGUGUCUUGUGUUGCUUACAGAGGUAACUGCGCAGCGUUACCAUUUACAUUUUCUUCCCUACAGGGUUACAGUUUUAAUGUUUUUCUAUUACAGGAUUUCUGGGCGGAUGUGUGAAGAAACGGUGUUUAUGGGUUAGGAGUUGGGGAUGCUAUUACACUGUAUUUACAGGAAAUGUUUUAUAGCACCUAUGGAAUGAGGAUGCCUGACUACGGUCAAUGUGCUGCUAAUGUUUGCUUUGCUUUGGUGAGAGGGGUGCAGUAGAAAACAGACAAGUGACAUGAAAACAAGUAAUAAUAACAAAUAACAAAUUUGGGGACAGUUUGACCUAGAGCCCACUAACUGGCCAUUAGGGGCUCUCGCUCUCGCUCUCCCUCUCUCUCUCUCUCUCUCUCUCUCUCUCUCUCUCUCUCUCUCAGGUUGUUGCUCUUUAACUCCUAGAACACGCCCUUGGCGAGGUGGGGGGAACUGGACCACCUUUCUGUGCCCCAUCAUCCUCUAUUAGACGACAUCCAAGCUAAGACAGCUGUUACUGCUUUCGUCGGGAACCGAGACUGCUUGCAGCCGACCCCUGGGCAGGGUGGUGCCUGGACUCUUUUCUCCUCAUCUGCAAUGACAGAUAAAGACAAAUGAUAAGACCCGAGGAGUUUUUCGAGCCAGGCUUCGACACGUCUCUGUGUUCCUUUGAAUGUUACUUAUUUUUGUGUGUUGACCCAUUUAAGAUGGGUCAAAAGGGGGAUUUGAAGAAAAUAUAAUCUGAUCAAACAUUAUUCAGCUUUAAAUAUUGUUCAGCUUUAAAGUUACUGUGCAACUGUGUAAUAAAAAUGUGCUCACGACUUUGGCCUUGAGAGCGAUAAGAAGCGAUCGCCUCAUUCUGCAGGUGCAAGAUAUCUGCAAGCGAAGAGACUAGAACACCCAAGGCCGCUUUCCUUUUAUGGAGUUGUUUUUCUGCUAAUGCAGCACUGUCCUCACAACCCCCUCCUGUAAGUUUUAGAGAAUAUAUACCCAUCCUCACAGCA